UACGUAGGUGGCAAGCGUUGUCCGGAAUUAUUGGGCGUAAAGCGCGCGCAGGCGGUUUCUUAAGUCUGAUGUGAAAGCCCACGGCUUAGCCGUGGAAGGUCAUUGGAAACUGGGAGACUUGAGUGCAGAAGAGAAGAGCGGAAUUCCACGUGUAGCGGUGAAAUGCGUAGAGAUGUGGAGGAACACCAGUGGCGAAGGCGGCUCUUUGGUCUGUAACUGACGCUGAGGCGCGAAAGCGUGGGGAUCAAACAGG
rnacentral:rRNA from 1 species